CAUGUACUCCCUCCGUUCGGAAAUGGAUGUAUCUAGACGUAUUUUAGUUUUAGAUACAUCCAUUUUUAUCCAUUUCUCUGACAAGUAUUUCCGGACGGAGGGAGUAUCAC
rnacentral:pre_miRNA from 1 species